AAAGAUUAAGCCAUGCAUGUCUAAGUAUAAGCAAUCUAUACCGUGAAACUGCGAAUGGCUCAUUAAAUCAGUUAUCGUUUAUUUGAUAGUACCUUACUACUUGGAUAACCGUGGUAAUUCUAGAGCUAAUACAUGCUAAAAACCCCGACUUCGGAAAGGGUGUAUUUAUUAGAUAAAAAACCAAUGCCCUUCGGGGCUCCUUGGUGAUUCAUAAUAACUUAACGAAUCGCAUAGCCUUGUGCUGGCGAUGGUUCAUUCAAAUUUCUGCCCUAUCAACUUUCGAUUGUAAGGUAUUGGCUUACAAUGGUUU
rnacentral:rRNA from 1 species